rnacentral:rRNA from 1 species
UACGUAGGUGGCAAGCGUUGUCCGGAAUUAUUGGGCGUAAAGCGCGCGCAGGCGGCCUUUUAAGUCUGAUGUGAAAGCCCACGGCUCAACCGUGGAAGGUCAUUGGAAACUGAAAGGCUUGAGUACAGAAGAGGAAAGCGGAAUUCCACGUGUAGCGGUGAAAUGCGUAGAGAUGUGGAGGAACACCAGUGGCGAAGGCGGGUCUCUGGGCCGAUACUGACGCUGAGGAGCGAAAGCGUGGGGAGCGAACAGG